rnacentral:rRNA from 1 species
AGUCGAACGAAGUAGCAAUACUUAGUGGCAGACGGGUGAGUAACAUGUAGGUAUCUUCCCUUUGGUGAGGAAUAACACGAGGAAACUUGUGCUAAUACCUCAUAAGUCUUUACGGAGAAAGCUUUAUGCGCCAAAGGAUGAGCCUGCACUUGAUUAGUUUGUUGGUGGGGUAAUGGCCUACCAAGACUUUGAUCUAUAGCUGAUCUGAGAGGAUGAUCAGCCACAUUGGGACUGAGACACGGCCCAAACUCCUACGGGAGGCAGCAGUAGGGAAUAUUGCACAAUGGAGGAAACUCUGAUGCAGCGAUGCCGCGUGAGUGAAGAAGGCCUUUGGGUUGUAAAGCUCUUUCGUCGGGGAAGAAAAUGACUGUACCCGAAUAAGAAGGUCCGGCUAACUUCGUGCCAGCAGCCGCGGUAAUACGAAGGGACCUAGCGUAGUUCGGAAUUACUGGGCUUAAAGAGUUCGUAGGUGGUUAAAAAAGUUGGUGGUGAAAUCCCAGAGCUUAACUCUGGAACCGCCAUCAAAACUUUUUAGCUAGAGUAUGAUAGAGGAAAGCAGAAUUUCUAGUGUAGAGGUGAAAUUCGUAGAUAUUAGAAAGAAUACCAAUUGCAAAGGCAGCUUUCUGGAUCAUUACUGACGCUGAGGAACGAAAGCAUGGGUAGCGAAGAGGAUUAGAUACCCUCGUAGUCCAUGCCGUAAACGAUGUGUGUUAGACGUUGGAAAUUUAUUUUCAGUGUCGCAGCGAAAGCAUUAAACACACCGCCUGGGGAGUACGACCGCAAGGUUAAAACUCAAAUGAAUUGACGGGGACCCGCGCAAGUAGUGGAGCAUGUGGUUUAAUUCGAAGAUACGCGCAGAACCUUACCAACACUUGACAUGUUCGUCGCGACUCUAAGAGA